ACCUUUGACCCCCUUUGGUCCAUUUGACCCUCGGACACCAGGAGUUCCAGUCCCCCCGCGAACACCAGGUCCUGGGAGCCCUGGUGGUCCAGGAUUUCCAUCUACUCCAGUCUCCAUGUUCCAAAAACUUGGAAGUUGAGUACCUGGAAAGCCUGGAGAACCAUCCCGACCAUGGAAACCUUUUGGUCCCCGGAUACCAACCAAACCAGUCUGUCCAAUUUCCCCAGUGGGUCCAUCUAGUCCUCUGAAACCUGACGGCCCUUCGUCACCCUUAGCUCCUGGCAUACAACAUCCUGGAACACCAGCUUCUCCUGGCAAACCAUCCAGACCUAGUGCACCUGUGUGAACAGUGCAGGAGGGCCAGAGACUCCUGGUACCCCAAUAAACCCUUCAUCUCCUGGCAGGCCUUUCCGACCCUUGGGCCCUGGGGAGCCGAAUGUUAUUUCACCCUGUGGAUGGAAUUCAAAUUUGAAUGGUGUUCCUGGUUGCCCGACACCCAUUGACCCUUGGCUGCCCAUUGGACCUGUGCUGCCAGGGUCUCCAGAAAUCCCUGGAUCACCUUGGUUGCCCUUAGGCCCUGGAGGACUCUGAAAAAAGCGUCGGACAGUGACUUAAAAAUAGGUGCAUGAUGCCCUUAACUUACACAAAUGGGACGGAGGAGAACUUCAUCAAAGCUCAACUGGACUCUUCUAUUCUAUCCAUGCGGUAGACAGAGAAGUGUUCGGCCGGAGUAACCGCUGUGUCCGGUCCGGCCGUUGUCGUUGUCCUCGACCCUCAGUGUUUCGACAUGCCACGACAGAGAGUCGGAUA